GACGAACGCUGGCGGCGUGCCUAACACAUGCAAGUCGAGCGAUGAAGUUUCCUUCGGGAAACGGAUUAGCGGCGGACGGGUGAGUAACACGUGGGUAACCUGCCUCAUAGAGUGGGAUAGCCUCCCGAAAGGGAGAUUAAUACCGCAUAAUAUUACAGUUUCGCAUGAAACAGUAAUUAAAGGAGUAAUCCGCUAUGAGAUGGACCCGCGGCGCAUUAGCUAGUUGGUGAGGUAACGGCUCACCAAGGCGACGAUGCGUAGCCGACCUGAGAGGGUGAUCGGCCACAUUGGGACUGAGACACGGCCCAGACUCCUACGGGAGGCAGCAGUGGGGAAUAUUGCACAAUGGGGGAAACCCUGAUGCAGCAACGCCGCGUGAGUGAUGACGGUCUUCGGAUUGUAAAGCUCUGUCUUUGGGGACGAUAAUGACGGUACCCAAGGAGGAAGCCACGGCUAACUACGUGCCAGCCGCCGCCGUAAAAC
rnacentral:rRNA from 1 species